AUGACAUAUACAAAAUCUUAUACAAUAAUCUUUGUACCAUUGUCCAUCAAUUCACCAAGGUAUCCACACCUAUUAAUACUUGAUGACGAGGACAUAGGAAGUGGAGGGAUGGUGUAAUCCCCCAUAUUUUCUUAGAAAAUAAUAAUUAUAUAUUUUUAUGUAUACGAUUAUUUUAAUAAUAUUAUAAUUAUACAUAAAUACUUUGGGAAGAUUUUUUUUUUUAAAAAAAAAAAAAAUUACACUUCAAUAGCAUUUUACUCGCCUUGGGCUAUGAUCACCAUUCUAACCUUACAAAAAAAUAAAAGAAGCCCAAACCUCCCAAACCCUCAUUUUCUAAUUAAGUAAACUUUUUCAAAACCCUCUUUUUUUACUGCUUCCCUUAUUACUCCCUCUCCCUUGCUUCCUCAUUCACGAAACACACACACACACACACAAAAAAAAAAAAAAAAAGAAGAGAAAACGCUCCACUAGUCGCAGCCACCGAGCACCACCACCACCAGUGCCCACCUGCUGUCGCGCCGCCCAGCCGCCCAGCGCGCCGUCCAGCCGAUUCACCACAGGUUUUUGCAUAAACUGUCUUGCAUCAGGGUGAUGGGAUUUGAGUGGAGAGUUGGUUAACCAGUUAGCUUAUUUCAUAACACAGAUUGAAUUUUAUUUUGGUGUUGGUUCCAUUACUUCCUAUUUUACUGGAUUUUGAAUACGGGCCGUUAUGGUUCCAACUUGUAAGACUUUGAGUUUUGACUUCCAGUUUUGAAACUUA